rnacentral:rRNA from 1 species
GACGAACGCUGGCGGCGUGCCUAAUACAUGCAAGUAGAACGCACAGUUUAUACCGUAGCUUGCUACACCAUAGACUGUGAGUUGCGAACGGGUGAGUAACGCGUAGGUAACCUGCCUGGUAGCGGGGGAUAACUAUUGGAAACGAUAGCUAAUACCGCAUAAUAUUAAUUAUUGCAUGAUAAUUAAUUGAAAGGUGCAAUUGCACCACUACCAGAUGGACCUGCGUUGUAUUAGCUAGUAGGUGAGGUAACGGCUCACCUAGGCGACGAUACAUAGCCGACCUGAGAGGGUGAUCGGCCGCACUGGGACUGAGACACGGCCCAGACGCCUACGGGAGGCAGCAGUAGGGAAUCUUCGGCAAUGGACGAAAGUCUGACCGAGCAACGCCGCGUGAGUGAAGAAGGUUUUCGGAUCGUAAAGCUCUGUUGUAAGAGAAGAACGGGUGUGAGAGUGGAAAGUUCACACUGUGACGGUAUCUUACCAGAAAGGGACGGCUAACUACGUG